AAAUCACGUUUUACAGCGCAAUUUAAUUUUAAUUUAUGAAUUAUUUUAGGCAUCAUUUGUAGUGAUGUGUACACACUUUAUCGAUAAAAUCAAAUUUGUCUUUUAUCGUAUAAAUAACAUUUGCUUACUUUUGUAGAUUUCCAAAUUGUCCUGAAAUUAGAACUGCGUGGAUUUGGACAAUAAAACGAAAAUCUGGAAGUGAAAGGUUAUAAAGGACGAACGAAACAAACUUCGAGAGCUGGCUAAUAAUGAAACAAAAACGAAGGUUUUGAGCAUUUUCCUCAGUCAGUUUUCUACGUCCAGCUCUCUAUAAUUUUGUUGACCUAGAAUUCUUGACUUUUACUUGGCUUUUUAUUUUAUAAUAGAGCAAGAUCCCGGAAGCGCCAGACUGUAUUUAUGUACUUAUUUUCUGAGAAACGGCCAAUUUAUAAGUAUCAGCUGCUGCCUGCUAAAGGUACAUAUGUAUAACAUUACUCACUUUUCUUAAAGUCUGAGUGUA